AGGACGAACGCUGGCGGCGUGCCUAAAACAUGCAAGUCGAACGAGGUCCAGUCAGUGGCAACACUGAGGACGACCUAGUGGCGAACGGGUGAGUAACACGUGAGGAACUUGCCCCGGAGACCGGGAUAACCCUCCGAAAGGAGAGCUAAUACCGGAUGUCCUCACCGAGCCGCAUGGCUUGAUGAGGAAAUGGAUUCCGCUCCGGGAGAGUCUCGCGGCCUAUCAGCUAGUUGGUGGGGUAACGGCCCACCAAGGCAUCGACGGGUAGCUGGUCUGAGAGGACGAUCAGCCACACUGGGACUGAGACACGGCCCAGGACUCCUACGGGAGGCAGCAGUUAGGAAUCUUGCGCAAUGGGCGAAAGCCUGACGCAGCAACGCCGCGUGCGGGAUGACGGCUUCGGUGUAACCGCUUUCGAGUGGGAACACCGAAGACCGUACCGACAGAAGAACGCCCGGACCAACACGUGCCAGCAAGCCGAC
rnacentral:rRNA from 1 species